rnacentral:rRNA from 1 species
GCAGUCGAGCGGACCGACGGGAGCUUGCUCCCUUAGGUCAGCGGCGGACGGGUGAGUAACACGUGGGUAACCUGCCUGUAAGACUGGGAUAACUCCGGGAAACCGGGGCUAAUACCGGAUGCUUGAUUGAACCGCAUGGUUCAAUCAUAAAAGGCGGCUUCGGCUGCCGUUUACAGAUGGACCCGCGGCGCAUUAGCUAGUUGGUGAGGUAACGGCUCACCAAGGCGACGAUGCGUAGCCGACCUGAGAGGGUGAUCGGCCACACUGGGACUGAGACACGGCCCAGACUCCUACGGGAGGCAGCAGUAGGGAAUCUUCCGCAAUGGACGAAAGUCUGACGGAGCAACGCCGCGUGAGUGAUGAAGGUUUUCGGAUCGUAAAGCUCUGUUGUUAGGGAAGAACAAGUACCGUUCGAAUAGGGCGGUACCUUGACGGUACCUAACCAGAAAGCCACGGCUAACUACGUGCCAGCAGCCGCGGUAAUAC